UACGAAGGGGACUAGCGUUGUUCGGAAUCACUGGGCGUAAAGCGCACGUAGGCGGAUUUGUAAGUCAGGGGUGAAAUCCCGGGGCUCAACCUCGGAACUGCCUUUGAUACUGCGAAUCUUGAGUCCGAUAGAGGUGGGUGGAAUUCCUAGUGUAGAGGUGAAAUGCGUAGAUAUUGGGAAGAACACCAGUGGCGAAGGCGGCUAACUGGUCCGAUACUGACGCUGAGGUGCGAAAGCGUGGGGAGCAAACAGG
rnacentral:rRNA from 1 species